UACGUAGGCAGCGAGCGUUGUUCGGAGUUACUGGGCGUAAAGAGUGCGUAGGCGGUUUUCUAAGUUUGGUGUGAAAUCUCCCGGCUUAACUGGGAGGGUGCGCCGAAAACUGGAAGGCUUGAGUAUGGGAGAGGUAAGCGGAAUUCCUGGUGUAGCGGUGAAAUGCGUAGAUAUCUGGAGGAAUACCGGUGGCGAAGGCGGCAUCCUGGACCGGCAUUGACGCUGAGGAGCGAAAGCUAGGGGAGCAAACGGG
rnacentral:rRNA from 1 species